rnacentral:rRNA from 1 species
AUUGUUUAUUUUAAUCCCAACAUCGAGGUCGCAAACCUUCUUAUCAAUAAGAACUCUCCAAGAAGAUUACGCUGUUAUCCCUAAGGUAAUUUAAUCUUUUAAUCAAAAAAAUUGGAUCAAUUAACCAUAUAUCAAUGUUAAAGAAAAGAAAAAAGUUAAAUUAAUUUUUCUGUCACCCCAACAAAAUAACAAAUAAAUAAAAAAUAGUUCAAUUCCUAAUUAUUAUCUAAAAUUCAUUAUUAAACUCUAUAGGGUCUUCUCGUCUUUAAUGAAUAUUUAAGCUUUUUAACUUAAAAAUAAAAUUCUUUUAAACUAAGGUAGAGACAGAUUUUUCCUCAUCCGACCAUUCAUACAAGUUUCUAAUUAAGAAACUAAUGAUUAUGCUACCUUCGCACAGUUAAAAUACUGCGGCCAUUGAAAUAAUCAUUGGGCAGGCCAGACCUCAUAUUAUAUUCUAAAGGAC